GUCGUAGCUGCACUUGUCGUGUUUCCAGAUGUCAAGGUUGACUCACCCAGUUUCUCAGAGUCAGAUGACAUAUUAGAUCCUGUCUUUAUUUCAGGUUUGGCUUUAGGGGGGGGUCGUACUUUGAGGUCCAUGAAAUCGCUAAUUAAACCUGGUUUUGUUAUCUUACUGUUAUCAACGUCCUUCUUACCAGUUAGCAGCUUGACCACUGUAGACAUGUAAGGACGAAGCUUUGGAGUAUCUUGGGUGCAGAGUAAACCAAUCUUUAGAAACUUACAAGCCUCCUCAGCAUCAAAGUCACCAUUUAGUGAUGUAUCCACCAGCCCUACCAGC
rnacentral:misc_RNA from 1 species